rnacentral:rRNA from 1 species
CUCGAGUGCCAGGUUACAAAUCUGGCUGUCGAGAUGCCUAAAAAGCAUUUCAUAGCAAGGGCCGGGCAAGACCGGUGCCAGCCGCCGCGGUAACACCGGCGGCUCGAGUGGUAACCGUUAUUAUUGGGUCUAAGGGGUCUGUAGCCGGCCGGAUAAGUCUCUUGAGAAAUCUGGCAGCUUAACUGUCAGGCUUUCAGGAGAUACUGUCUGGCUCGAGGCCGGGAGAGGUGAGAGGUACUUCAGGGGUAGGGGUGAAAUCUUGUAAUCCUUGAAGGACCACCAGUGGCGAAGGCGUCUCACCAGAACGGACCUGACGGCAAGGGACGAAAGCUAGGGGCACGAACCGGAUUAGAUACCCGGGUAGUCCUAGCCGUAAACGAUACUCGCUAGGUGUCGGCCACGGUGCGACCGUUGUCGGUGCCGUAGGGAAGCCG